GAUGAACGCUGGCGGCGUGCCUAAUACAUGCAAGUCGAGCGAACAGAUGAGGAGCUUGCUCCUCUGACGUUAGCGGCGGACGGGUGAGUAACACGUGGAUAACCUACCUAUAAGACUGGGAUAACUUCGGGAAACCGGAGCUAAUACCGGAUAAUAUAUUGAACCGCAUGGUUCAAUAGUGAAAGACGGUUUUGCUGUCACUUAUAGAUGGAUCCGCGCCGCAUUAGCUAGUUGGUAAGGUAACGGCUUACCAAGGCAACGAUGCGUAGCCGACCUGAGAGGGUGAUCAGCCACACUGGAACUGAGACACGGUCCAGACUCCUACGGGAGGCAGCAGUAGGGAAUCUUCCGCAAUGGGCGAAAGCUUGACGGAGCAACGCCGCGUGAGUGAUGAAGGUCUUCGGAUCGUAAAACUCUGUUAUUAGGGAAGAACAAAUGUGUAAGUAAAUAUGCACGUCUUGACGGUACCUAAUCAGAAAGCCACGGCUAACUACGUG
rnacentral:rRNA from 1 species